ACAGAAAUAGAAAAAGAAAAGGAAAAGAAAGAAAAUUUUUAGCAAUGCAGAAAGUUUUACAAAACCUUUAUACAUCAGGCACAAAGGUCUAUCUGCAGAAGGAUGUAGUCCAAGAAAUGUCUAGUUAUCUGGGUAGCACCGUUAGUAACAAUGGCGAUAUUGAGACUAACAUCAACCAUGGAUUCGCAAAGCCGCGACUCUGUUCUAGAGAAUGUGCACUGUAUAGUCAACCGACACCUGCUUUACAAAUGUCUGGCUCUAUAACAGUAUAGUAUAACCAACAGUUCUCUAUGUCAGUGAGACACGGAAGAGCACGGUGAAAGUAAACAGAAAGCUAGAUGUUUUUCAUCGAAGAUUCUUCAAAGAUACUUCAGAAGGAUUCUAACAACCUUCUGGCAAGAUUAUGUAAACAAUGAUGACAUUUAAAGAGAACCAGCGCAAGACCACUCAGAGAAGUUAUUGCAUAACGAAGACUAGCAGGUCACACACCUCCGUUACCAGAACAACGUCAUUCUAAAACAGCUUUCAAAUGGACACCACCAAAGGGGAGAAAAUAGAGGUAGAUAGGAAAGUACAUGCGCAGAAAAAUUCAUAACCGACAUGAGAAAGGCUAAUAUCACAUAGCCGGAUGUAGAGGACACCAGAAGCCAGUGGAGUGAUUUGCCGCCCAAUGUGCUCUAGAUACAAAAGUGAUACAUCCUGGUUCUGACGUGGCUCUGAACUGUCUAUCAGGACAAUCCUUCCUGCUGAUAACAUCAUAUCAUGUCUCAUGGAGAGGCAACAAUUAUGCACAUUUAUACAGGUUUUUGAAUAGCUGCUGCUGAUAUGGCUGGAAUCUUCCACACUGAUCUGUUUCAAAAGAAGUUAAAUAGAAUCAGCGUGUGUUUAUUAUUGGCAUAAUGACCCUUCCGAGAUACAACAACAUCUGUUUCAACAUACGAGUUCACGUCAAGAAGCUUACAAACCAAAUACAAAAGAAAAAAAUAACAAUAAGCGUUUUCUAAUAUAUAUAUAUAUGCAAUAUAUAUGUAUAUAUAUAUAAAUGCAUAAUGCAAAGGUGGAAGAAAAAGA